rnacentral:rRNA from 1 species
UGGGGAAUCUUCCGCAAUGGACGAAAGUCUGACGGAGCAACGCCGCGUGAGUGAAGAAGGUUUUCGGAUCGUAAAACUCUGUCUUUUGGGGCGAACGUGAGUAUGGUGAACAAUCAUAGUCAGUGACGGUACCAAAGGAGGAAGCCACGGCUAACUACGUGCCAGCAGCCGCGGUAAUACGUAGGUGGCAAGCGUUGUCCGGAAUUAUUGGGCGUAAAGAGCGCGUAGGCGGGAUAGUCAGUCUGUUGUAAAGUGCGGGGCUCAACCCCGUGAUGGCAAUGGAAACAGCUAUUCUUGAGUGCAGGAGAGGAAAGUGGAAUUCCCAGUGUAGCGGUGAAAUGCGUAGAUAUUGGGAGGAACACCAGUGGCGAAGGCGACUUUCUGGACUGUGUCUGACGCUGAGGCGCGAAAGCCAGGGGAGCGAACGGGAUUAGAUACCCCCGGUAGUCCUGGCCGUAAACGAUGGGUACUAGGUGUGGGAGGUAUCGACCCCCUUUCCGUGCCGGAGUUAACGCAAUAAGUACCCCGCCUGGGGAGUACGGUCGCAAGACUGAAACUCAAAUGAAUUGACGGGGGUCAUAGCUGUUUCCUG